AGUGAACGCUGGCGGUAGGCCUAACACAUGCAAGUCGAACGGCAGCACAGUAAGAGCUUGCUCUUACGGGUGGCGAGUGGCGGACGGGUGAGGAAUACAUCGCAAUCUACUUUUUCGUGGGGGAUAACGUAGGGAAACUUACGCUAAUACCGCAUACGACCUACGGGUGAAAGCAGGGGAUCUUCGGACCUUGCGCGAUUGAAUGAGCCGAUGUCGGAUUAGCUAGUUGGCGGGGUAAAGGCCCACCAAGGCGACGAUCCGUAGCUGGUCUGAGAGGAUGAUCAGCCACAGUGGAACUGAGACACGGUCCAGACUCCGACGGGAGGCAGCAGUGGGGAAUAGUGGACAAUGGGCGCAAGCCUGAUCCAGCCAUACCGCGUGGGUGAAGAAGGCCUUCGUGUUGUAAAGCCCUUUUGGUGGGAAAGAAAAGCAGCAGGUUAAUACCCCGCUGUUCUGACGGUACCCAAAGAAUAAGCACCGGCUAACUUCGUG
rnacentral:rRNA from 1 species